rnacentral:tRNA from 1 species
GAAAAAAUAGUAUACAGAUACAAUUGCCUUGAAAGCUUUUAAUAAGAAUAAAAUCUCUUUUUUUUCG